GGCUGAUACCUGUAGUCCCAGCACUCAGGAGUCUGAGGCAGGAAAGCCAUGAGUAAUAGGCCAGUCUGGGCUACAUGGUGAGUUCCAGGAUAGCCUGGGCUACAGUGUGUACAGUGUGAGAGCCUGUCUCUCACACAACAAAAUCCUCUUGCAUUGUGAUUUUUCCCUUCUGCCUCCUAGGGCUUCUAGCACUUAGGAUACUCACCACAAAAUACGACAGUCUUCUUCAUGUCUUUCUCUUCUUUCUCUUCCUCCUCUUCUCUAUUUCUCCUAGCUGGGUGUGGUGGCACAGGCCUUUGAUCCCAGUACUCCAGAGGCAGAGGCAGACACAGAUCCCUGAGUUCAAGGCCAGCCUGGUCUACAGAGCAAGUUCUAGGACAUCUUGGGCUACACAGAGAAACCCUGUCUCAAAAAAACCUUAUUCAUGUAUGAGUGUUUUGCCUACAUGUAUGUCUGUGUACCACACACAUGCCUGGUAUCUAUAGAGGCCAGAAGAGGGCAUUGGGUCCCCUGGAACUGGAGUUACAGAUGGUUGUGACCCACCAUGUGGGAACUGAACCUGAGUCCUUUGGAAGAGCGGCCAGUGCUCUUAACUGCUGAACCAUUUCUCCAGGCCUUUUAAAUCACAUUCUUUGUGAGAAAGGCUAUGUUUUAUUUGUUCCAUUCUUCCCAGGGCCUAAGAUAUUCUAAGUGAAUACUUUAAUUAGUUGGAAUUUUCUCCUGAAUUUUCCUUUACCAUCCCAUUUGGUGGUAGGAAAACUAGGCCAAAAAGCCCAGGCUACUGAUGACUCCUCUCCCGCAGGUCCCUUCUAAGUCAGUCCAUGUUAUUCUCUACAACUAGCUACAUGCAUAUUAGUAUAAUCAAGUCUACCCAAGGUACUCUGUAAAUGCUUAUCAGAAAUGAGUUGUUCCUUAGAAUGCUUUUCUGUUCACAAGUGGUUACAUCUCAUUUUUUUCCCAAGGUGGAUGAGAUGGGCUCAGAAAGACAAAUCCUCUGCAGUGUGAGACACAAAAGAAAUCUUCCAAGAGUUGGGCCUUGGCUCACAAAUAUCCUUCCCAGAUUUUGCUAGAGAGCUCUCUUUGGGAAUUUGCUGGCUACAUCAUUAAUAUUAUCUAUUCCAUUUGGCUGUGGGCUGGUCAGUGUGGUGGGGAAUUGUUAUUUUUAGAGCACUGAGUGAAAGAUAAAAAUGAAAAACAAAAAUCUACUUUGGCUGCCAAUUGUGAGAACUAACGUACUUCCAACUUAGAUUUUGCUCAUAAGCCUAGUGAUCACCCAAGGGACUAAUGAUAAGUUGGAGAGCAAAUGAUGGAGCCUGUCCUGGCACUCGCUCUGGAGACCAGGCUGGCCUCGAACUCACAGAGAUCCACCUACCUCUGCCUCCGGAGUGCUGGGAUUAAAGGCAUGCGCCACCAACGCCCAGCUCUUUUCUUUCUCUCUCUCUCUUUCCUUUUUUUUUGAGAUGGUUUCUCUGCCUGUCCUGGAACUCGAUUUGUAGACUAGGCGGCCUUGAACUCAAGAAAUCCACCAGCCUCUACCAACUGAGUGCUAGAAUUAAAGCCCUCAUUCUGCAGCUCAGCCUGUACUCCAGGUGUAACGUGUUACUGU
ensembl:lncRNA